UAAACUUAGCUAUUUGUUAAAGAAAAAUAAGAGAUUAAAGAAAAGGUUUGCAUAUUUCCUUUUACCAAAGGUUUAGUGACCUCUUACCAGUAAUAGCUGAGGCAUUGAGGAAGGACACACCCAGCUACUACGUUUAUAAAGCCAUCCUCUGAUAGAGUAAAGCUUAUUUUUUACACGCUUGACUGCACUAAUGUAUGCAGAUCACCUAUAUCCACGGAGAUCAGGUGCAGCACAACUCAACAAGGAGAUAUUUGAAAUCCAGGCAACAAUGGGGCGAGCAUUGAUCUUGCUGAUCUCAACAGUGAUCAUGAUUGUGUCUUGGGGUGUCAAAGCACAGGCAGUAAAUGGUACCAACUCUACAGAUGGUGCUACCACGGCUAACAACACGUCUACUGCCAGCUUUGCAACGCCUCACCACGGUAAAAAACAAAACAAAACUACUCACCAUCAACAGGAACAGACGGUCUAUGCAACAACUCAACAUUAUCUACUAAAUGCCAAAGAUUUAUUUAAAAAUGAAAAGACUCUUUUUCUUGCAAAGGCUUUAGAAGAUAUUACUUAAUAAAUCUAGUUCCACUCAACAGUAAGACAAUCGAUUAGAGAUCUGCGAAACUUAAGACAUGCAUGAAGAUAAUGAAUGAAGCUGUGAGGAUGCAAUGAAGGCAGUUUCAAUCUUUCUCUUUCCUUCACCCUUUAGAUUCAUUUGCAAAUGUCUGAGUUUAAAACUCAAUUGUAAAGCAGCAAAAGCAGAGAAUUAAAAAAAAAUAUUUUCCAAUCAUGUCUGUCAUGGCAUGGUACAGUGGUUAGCACUCUCACCUAACUGCAAAAAGGUUUGAAUCCCGGCUGGGACCUUUCUGUGUGGAGUUUGCAUGUUCUUCCCAUACAUGCGUGGGCUUUCUCUGUGGUCUUCGAUCUCCUCCAACAGUCCUAACAAAAAGCUCUUGGUGUGGGGGGUGAGCAGGUGCUCCCCCUCAUUUGUCUCACUUUCAACAUUCCAUCAUCUAUCACAAAAUUCUUUUUUUUAAAGAAUUGUCAUUUUUGCAUACAAACAUAAAAUACAACAACAAGAUCCAGCCAAAAUUUUUUUUUUAGGGCUGAACUUUCUGAAUAAAAUUGUUUCAUUAAUUUUGUGAUUUGAUGGCUAUGAAUAAAAUUUACGUCUUUACAUUCUGCUUGCUGCAAUAGCUUGAAUGUGCAAAAAUUCAAUUUCUGUUGGAACAACUAACAAAAAGUCAAACAAUGCUAAUAUUCUAGGAUCAGAUUGUGCAGAGAUAGACAGAACUGCUGGUAGAGAUCGGUUAAUAAAAGAAAAUCCUAAACUGGUCAAUGAAAAACAAUAAUUGAAAGAAAUAACAAAAAAUAUCACUUAUGAAAACCAAUGGAAAAGCUGCAUGUUGUGCAAGUUGUGCAACUGAGAGUGUGAUUGUGUUGCCCUCAAUAGACUGGUGACCUGCUCAGUGUGUACCCUGCCUUCUGCCAACAGUAGUUGGGAUUGGCUCCAGCAACCCUGUGACCUGUCUGUGGAGUUAGAUUAGAUUAGAUUAGAUUAGAUUAGAUAAAAUUAGAUUAGAUUAGCUAGAUGACGGCCGAAAUCAUAGUUUUGUUUCUGUCUGUAUAAAAACACUCUCCACUGUUUCUUAUGCAAAGGGAAGAAUAUAUUCAAAGCAUUUCCUUGAAAAUUUGGUGAGGUAUAAACAAAUUCAGCAAACACACAGAACAAAGCAGGAACUGCAGAUCUGAUACACGGAAACUCCGAGCUACUGCUUCACAGCUUUCUCAAAUUUUAAACAAAGUGUGUAGUUUUCUGUUUUUAUUUCUUUUGUUGUUGCUUUUUUCUGUUUGAGCUCCUGUGUGCACUGCUGGAUGAGUAAAGACUGUCUCCAUACAUUUUCUUAUCUUCUGUAGACAGACAAAGGACCAUCCAGAAUAAGAUCUUUGUUUUGUUACAUGUGAGAUAUUCCUGUGCUUUGAAUAUAGACAAAGAUGUUGUACUUAUGCAAUCCUUAAAACAUUCCCUUCAUUUGCCUCUAACUUCAAGUAUCAUAGUUAGAGCUUUUUUUGCCUUGACUGUUUAUUGAAAAAAAAAAUUGAUUUAGUGAAGGUUAUGUCACCAUAUCUAUGAUUGACUCAGUAUAUUACACAUUGAUCUUAUGUAAAGAAUGCUUAUUUUCAUUCUGUAAGGAAAGUCUUGCAAACUUCAUAAUAAAAAUACAUUUUCCCUUUAA